GAUGAACGCUGGCGGCGUGCCUAAUACAUGCCAGUCGAGCGAACAGAUAAGGAGCUUGCUCCUUUGACGUUAGCGGCGGACGGGUGAGUAACACGUGGGUAACCUACCUAUAAGACUGGGAUAACUUCGGGAAACCGGAGCUAAUACCGGAUAAUAUUUCGAACCGCAUGGUUCGAUAGUGAAAGAUGGUUUUGCUAUCACUUAUAGAUGGACCCGCGCCGUAUUAGCUAGUUGGUAAGGUAACGGCUUACCAAGGCGACGAUACGUAGCCGACCUGAGAGGGUGAUCGGCAACACUGGAACUGAGACACGGUCCAGACUCCUACGGGAGGCAGCAGUAGGGAAUCUUCCGCAAUGGGCGAAAGCCUGACGGAGCAACGCCGCGUGAGUGAUGAAGGUCUUCGGAUCGUAAAACUCUGUUAUUAGGGAAGAACAUACGUGUAAGUAACUGUGCACGUCUUGACGGUACCUAAUCAGAAAGCCACGGCUAACUACGUG
rnacentral:rRNA from 1 species